rnacentral:misc_RNA from 1 species
GAUGAAGAACGUAGCGAAAUGCGAUAAGUAAUGUGAAUUGCAGAAUUCAGUGAAUCAUCGAAUCUUUGAACGCACAUUGCGCCCUCUGGUAUUCCGGAGGGCAUGCCUGUUCGAGCGUCAUUAUAACCCCUCAAGCUCAGCUUGGUGUUGGGGCCUGCUGCACUGGCAGCCCUUAAAAUCAGUGGCGGCGCCAUCUGGCUCUAAGCGUAGUAAUUCUUCUCGCUAUGGAGUCCUGGUGGAUGCUUGCCAUCAACCCCCAAUUUUUCUAUGGUUGACCUCGGAUCAGGUAGGGAUACCCGCUGAACUUAAGCAUAUCAAUAAGCGGAGGA